rnacentral:misc_RNA from 1 species
AAGUCGUAACAAGGUUUCCGUAGGUGAACCUGCGGAAGGAUCAUUAGUGAAAUUUAGGGUGCUCUUUACUUCGGUAAAGAGGCCUGACCUCCACUCUCCAACACUGUGCACUAUUCGGCUCGAUUUCGAAGGCGCGCGAGCGCUGGAUUAGUCGAGCGGCUUCAUUUUAAACUCCAAGUUAAGGAAUGUAACCAAAACAAAACCUAAAAAA